GAUGAACGCUGGCGGCGUGCCUAAUACAUGCAAGUCGAGCGAACGGACGAGAAGCUUGCUUCUCUGAUGUUAGCGGCGGACGGGUGAGUAACACGUGGAUAACCUACCUAUAAGACUGGGAUAACUUCGGGAAACCGGAGCUAAUACCGGAUAAUAUUUUGAACCGCAUGGUUCAAAAGUGAAAGACGGUCUUGCUGUCACUUAUAGAUGGAUCCGCGCUGCAUUAGCUAGUUGGUAAGGUAACGGCUUACCAAGGCAACGAUGCAUAGCCGACCUGAGAGGGUGAUCGGCCACACUGGAACUGAGACACGGUCCAGACUCCUACGGGAGGCAGCAGUAGGGAAUCUUCCGCAAUGGGCGAAAGCCUGACGGAGCAACGCCGCGUGAGUGAUGAAGGUCUUCGGAUCGUAAAACUCUGUUAUUAGGGAAGAACAUAUGUGUAAGUAACUGUGCACAUCUUGACGGAACCUAAUCAGAAAGCCACGGCUAACUACGUGCCAGCAGCCGCGGUAAUACGUAGGUGGCAAGCGUUAUCCGGAAUUAUUGGGCGUAAAGCGCGCGUAGGCGGUUUUUUAAGUCUGAUGUGAAAGCCCACGGCUCAACCGUGGAGGGUCAUUGGAAACUGGAAAACUUGAGUGCAGAAGAGGAAAGUGGAAUUCCAUGUGUAGCGGUGAAAUGCGCAGAGAUAUGGAGGAACACCAGUGGCGAAGGCGACUUUCUGGUCUGUAACUGACGCUGAUGUGCGAAAGCGUGGGGAUCAAACAGGAUUAGAUACCCUGGUAGUCCACGCCGUAAACGAUGAGUGCUAAGUGUUAGGGGGUUUCCGCCCCUUAGUGCUGCAGCUAACGCAUUAAGCACUCCGCCUGGGGAGUACGACCGCAAGGUUGAAACUCAAAGGAAUUGACGGGGACCCGCACAAGCGGUGGAGCAUGUGGUUUAAUUCGAAGCAACGCGAAGAACCUUACCAAAUCUUGACAUCCUUUGACAACUCUAGAGAUAGAGCUUUCCCCUUCGGGGGACAAAGUGACAGGUGGUGCAUGGUUGUCGUCAGCUCGUGUCGUGAGAUGUUGGGUUAAGUCCCGCAACGAGCGCAACCCUUAAGCUUAGUUGCCAUCAUUAAGUUGGGCACUCUAAGUUGACUGCCGGUGACAAACCGGAGGAAGGUGGGGAUGACGUCAAAUCAUCAUGCCCCUUAUGAUUUGGGCUACACACGUGCUACAAUGGACAAUACAAAGGGCAGCGAAACCGCGAGGUCAAGCAAAUCCCAUAAAGUUGUUCUCAGUUCGGAUUGUAGUCUGCAACUCGACUACAUGAAGCUGGAAUCGCUAGUAAUCGUAGAUCAGCAUGCUACGGUGAAUACGUUCCCGGGUCU
rnacentral:rRNA from 1 species